CUACAAUAAGGGAUUCAAAGUCAUAAAUUUUUCAUGCUUGCAUGAAAAAAUUUAUGACCUUGAAGACCAAACAAGUAUGAGGAAAAAAGGAAUUUUUAUGAAAUAAAAAUUACGAUUUCCGAAUACUUGUAGAAUUGCGAGAGCUGUGUAGCAGCGGAGCAAUUCGUAUUAUUGUAG
rnacentral:sRNA from 1 species